AACAGCUGCGGUAUUAUAACUGUACUAAGGUAGCAUAAUAAUUUGCCUUAUAAAUUAGGGCUAGAAUGAAUGGUUUGACGAAAAUUAUACUGUCUAUAUUUUAAUUAAUAGAAAUUAAUUUUUAUAGUGAAAAAGCUUAAAUAGUUUAAAGGGACGAGAGGACCCUAUUGAGCUUUAUAUUAGUUUUAAUAAAAUAAUUUAUUUAGUUAAAUUAAAUUUUUGUUUAUUAUGUUUAAUUUUGGUUGGGGUGAUCAAGGAAUAAGAUAAAUAUUAUUUAACUUCCUUAAAGAAUUAAUUUUUAGAAUAAUUAACCAAUGAUAUUGCUUAUAUGAUAAGUUACCCCAUAGGGAUAACAGCGUAUUGUUUUUGGAGAGUUCAUAUUAAAAAAAGAGAUUGCGACCUCGAUGUUGGAUUAAAAUAACCAUAUGGUGAAGAGGCUUUAUAUGGUGAAUCUGUUCGAUUUUUAAAAUUUU
rnacentral:rRNA from 1 species